rnacentral:rRNA from 1 species
AUUGAACGCUGGCGGCAUGCCUUACACAUGCAAGUCGAACGGCAGCACGGGAGCAAUCCUGGUGGCGAGUGGCGAACGGGUGAGUAAUACAUCGGAACGUGCCCAGUAGUGGGGGAUAGCCCGGCGAAAGCCGGAUUAAUACCGCAUACGACCUACGGGUGAAAGCGGGGAUCGCAAGACCUCGCGCUAUCGGAGCGGCC